CAACACUCAAGAACUCUCAAGGAGCCGUGCAAUGUUCUCUCUCACAGUAUACUCAAGAACUCGCAAGCGUAAAGAAGACAAUCUGAACGUGCGUACCUCAGAAGUUCGUUGGGAAACCCUUAUAUACCUGGCCACUUUCUCUCUCCUGGCAGUUACAGACCUGGACACGUGGCUCGCAUCCAGCUGUACACGUGCCAUCAUCUGGAGCCUCCUUGA
rnacentral:lncRNA from 1 species